ACACUUCACAUCAGUAUUAAUUUUUUGGGGAAAAAUCCAACGAUGGCUCUAAAGCCAAGAAUAUUUUCUACACUCUCCACUUCCCCUAAUCUUCUUAUGAUGCUUCAAAAGCUAAAUAUGAAAGUUUUCACGGCGAUCUUCACGAUAACUUUCCCUGCUCCAGUGCAGCAUUGAUGAUAACAUUCUUCACAUCUAUCCCGUGAGU